GACGAACGCUGGCGGCGUGCUUAACACAUGCAAGUCGAACGGAAAGGCCCUGCUUUUGUGGGGUGCUCGAGUGGCGAACGGGUGAGUAACACGUGAGUAACCUGCCCUUGACUUUGGGAUAACUUCAGGAAACUGGGGCUAAUACCGGAUAGGAGCUCCUGCUGCAUGGUGGGGGUUGGAAAGUUUCGGCGGUUGGGGAUGGACUCGCGGCUUAUCAGCUUGUUGGUGGGGUAGUGGCUUACCAAGGCUUUGACGGGUAGCCGGCCUGAGAGGGUGACCGGCCACAUUGGGACUGAGAUACGGCCCAGACUCCUACGGGAGGCAGCAGUGGGGAAUAUUGCACAAUGGGCGGAAGCCUGAUGCAGCAACGCCGCGUGCGGGAUGACGGCCUUCGGGUUGUAAACCGCUUUCGCCUGUGACGAAGCGUGAGUGACGGUAAUGGGUAAAGAAGCACCGGCUAACUACGUGCCAGCAGCCGCGGUGAUACGUAGGGUGCGAGCGUUGUCCGGAUUUAUUGGGCGUAAAGGGCUCGUAGGUGGUUGAUCGCGUCGGAAGUGUAAUCUUGGGGCUUAACCCUGAGCGUGCUUUCGAUACGGGUUGACUUGAGGAAGGUAGGGGAGAAUGGAAUUCCUGGUGGAGCGGUGGAAUGCGCAGAUAUCAGGAGGAACACCAGUGGCGAAGGCGGUUCUCUGGGCCUUUCCUGACGCUGAGGAGCGAAAGCGUGGGGAGCGAACAGGCUUAGAUACCCUGGUAGUCCACGCUGUAAACGGUGGGUACUAGGUGUGGGGUCCAUUCCACGGGUUCCGUGCCGUAGCUAACGCUUUAAGUACCCCGCCUGGGGAGUACGGCCGCAAGGCUAAAACUCAAAGGAAUUGACGGGGCCCCGCACAAGCGGCGGAGCAUGCGGAUUAAUUCGAUGCAACGCGUAGAACCUUACCUGGGUUUGACAUGGAUCGGGAGCGCUCAGAGAUGGGUGUGCCUCUUUUGGGGUCGGUUCACAGGUGGUGCAUGGCUGUCGUCAGCUCGUGCCGUGAGAUGUUGGGUUAAGUCCCGCAACGAGCGCAACCCUUGUUCACUGUUGCCAGCACGUUAUGGUGGGGACUCAGUGGAGACCGCCGGGGUCAACUCGGAGGAAGGUGGGGAUGACGUCAAGUCAUCAUGCCCCUUAUGUCCAGGGCUUCACGCAUGCUACAAUGGCUGGUACAGAGAGUGGCGAGCCUGUGAGGGUGAGCGAAUCUCGGAAAGCCGGUCUCAGUUCGGAUUGGGGUCUGCAACUCGACCUCAUGAAGUCGGAGUCGCUAGUAAUCGCAGAUCAGCAACGCUGCGGUGAAUACGUUCCCGGG
rnacentral:rRNA from 1 species